rnacentral:tRNA from 1 species
GGGUCGCUAGCUCAGUUGGAAGAGCGCUGCCUUCGCAAGGCAGAGGUCGUCGGUUCGAGCCCGAUGCGAUCCA